rnacentral:rRNA from 1 species
AGUGAACGCUGGCGGUAGGCCUAACACAUGCAAGUCGAACGGCAGCACAGUAAGAGCUUGCUCUUACGGGUGGCGAGUGGCGGACGGGUGAGGAAUACAUCGGAAUCUACUUUUUCGUGGGGGAUAACGUAGGGAAACUUACGCUAAUACCGCAUACGACCUACGGGUGAAAGCAGGGGAUCUUCGGACCUUGCGCGAUUGAAUGAGCCGAUGUCGGAUUAGCUAGUUGGCGGGGUAAAGGCCCACCAAGGCGACGAUCCGUAGCUGGUCUGAGAGGAUGAUCAGCCACACUGGAACUGAGACCCGGUCCAGACUCCUACGGGAGGCAGCAGUGGGGAAUAUUGGACAAUGGGCGCAAGCCUGAUCCAGCCAUACCGCGUGGGUGAAGAAGGCCUUCGGGUUGUAAAGCCCUUUUGUUGGGAAAGAAAAGCAGCAGGUUAAUACCCCGCUGUUCUGACGGUACCCAAAGAAUAAGCACCGGCUAACUUCG